GACGAACGCUGGCGGCGUGCUUAACACAUGCAAGUCGAACGGUAAGGCCCUUCGGGGUACACGAGUGGCGAACGGGUGAGUAACACGUGGGUGAUCUGCCCUGCACUUCGGGAUAAGCCUGGGAAACUGGGUCUAAUACCGGAUAGGACCCUGGGAUGCAUGUCCUGGGGUGGAAAGCUUUUGCGGUGUGGGAUGGGCCCGCGGCCUAUCAGCGUGUUGGUGGGGUGAUGGCCGACCAAGGCGACGACGGGUAGCCGGCCUGGGAGGGUGAACGGCCACACUGGGACUGCGAAGCGGCCCAGACUCCUACAGGAGGCAGCAGUGGGGAAUAUUGCACACGGGGAGCAAGCCUGAUGCAGCGACGCCGCGUGAGGGAUGACGGCCUUCGGGUUGUAAACCUCUUUCAGCACCGACGAAGCGCAAGUGACGGUAGGUGCAGAAGAAGGACCGGCCAACUACGUGCCAGCCGCCGCGGUAA
rnacentral:rRNA from 1 species